CUCCAGGAGCAUAGAAGGUCCGCGCGGGAAAAUGUGUUCCUUUUCUGAGACCACCCUUUGCUUGCCAAUUACUCAAGAUGGCGAAGGCAGCUGACCACCACCGACGACGACUUGUUAUUAUUAUAAGAGGUAUAUGGGAUGGAAGGGUGUAAUGAAAUAGUUUGUUGGUUGGCACCUUAUGGAUAAACAAACUCCGAAUGGUCCCCGAGACAAGGACUAAUGGAG
ensembl:ncRNA F45E10.3 ncRNA